rnacentral:rRNA from 1 species
AUUGAACGCUGGCGGCAGGCCUAACACCUGCAAGUCGAACGAGUGGCGGACGGGUGAGUAAUGUCUGGGAAACUGCCUGAUGGAGGGGGAUAACUACUGGAAACGGUAGCUAAUACCGCAUACCAUCGGAUGUGCCCAGAUGGGAUUCGCUAGUAGGUGGGGUAACGGCUCACAUAGGCGACGAUCCCUAGCUGGUCUGAGAGGAUGACCAGCCACACUGGAACUGAGACACGGGCCAGACUCCUCCGGGAGGCAGCAGUGGGGAAUAUUGCACAAUGGGCGCAAGCCUGAUGCAGCCAUGCCGCGUGUAUGAAGAAGGCCGUCGGGUUGUAAAGUACUUACAGCGGGGAGGCGUUACCCGCAGAAGAAGCACCGGCUAACGCCGUGCCAGCAGCCGCGGUAAUAC